UACGAAGGGGGCUAGCGUUGUUCGGAAUCACUGGGCGUAAAGGGCGCGUAGGCGGCUUUAUAAGUCGGGGGUGAAAGCCUGUGGCUCAACCACAGAAUUGCCUUCGAUACUGUAGAGCUUGAGACCGGAAGAGGUAAGUGGAACUGCGAGUGUAGAGGUGAAAUUCGUAGAUAUUCGCAAGAACACCAGUGGCGAAGGCGGCUUACUGGUCCGGUUCUGACGCUGAGGAGCGAAAGUGUGGGGAGCGAACAGG
rnacentral:rRNA from 1 species